GACGAACGCUGGCGGCGUGCUUAACACAUGCCAGUCGAACGGGUCUGCCCUGUUUUUUGCGGGGUGGGUCAGUGGCGAACGGGUGAGUAACACGUGAGUAACCUGCCCCUCACUUCUGGAUAACCGCUUGAAAGGGUGGCUAAUACGGGGUGUUCUGGCUGUGCCGCAUGGUGUGGCUGGGAAAGAUUCACUUUUGUGUUGUUUUGGUGGGGGAUGGGCUCGCGGCCUAUCAGCUUGUUGGUGGGGUGAUGGCCUGCCAAGGCUUUGACGGGUAGCCGGCCUGAGAGGGUGGGCGGUCACACUGGGACUGAGAUACGGCCCAGACUCCUGCGGGAGGCAGCAGUGGGGGGUAUUGCACAAUGGGCGGAAGCCUGAUGCAGCGACGUCGCGUGAGGGAUGGAGGCCUUCGGGUUGUGAACCUCUUUCGCCGGUGAAGAAGGUCCUGCUCUUUGUGGUGGGGUUGACGGUAGCCGGGUUAUGAAGCGCCGGCUAACUACGUG
rnacentral:rRNA from 1 species